GAAAGUGAAUGGCGGAGGAUUGAAAGUGUCACAUUCAGAGGCGCUAAUCUAUAGGCGGUGGAGGACCGGUCCUCGCCCCCUCUCUGUCUCUGAGGGGAGGGGGGUGGUUAGCGGCGGUGCCGAGGUGCCUUAGCCCAUGCUCUGCGGGAGCCGGGGGGGUUGUGCGUGGUUUCUCUCUGCCCUGCCGUGAGCGCAAAGCUAACUGUGUGUGUGUGUGUGUGUGUGUGUGUCUGUCUCUCUCCAUACCGGGGGAUUGCACUCUUAAAAUACACCCGAUACAAUGCACCAGCCUGACUCAGCCGCAGACAUUAGUGCUAGGAAGAUGGCGCACCCGGCAAUGUUUCCUAGAAGGGGUAGCAGCAGUAGCAGCGGCAGCAGCUGCGUUACUGCUCCCACUGCACCAGGUACCGGCGUUGGGAGCGCUGCCCUCUCUGCCGAGGAUUAUCAGCCACCUUUGCUGGUCCAGCCGCCGCCUCUGUCUCCUGCAGCAUCUUCAUCAGCGGGUCCACAGCCGACACCCCCUCCUCCACAAAGCCUGAACCUCCUCUCGCAGUCUCAGCUCCAGCCACAGCCUCUUGCACAGACCGGAGCUCAAAUGAAAAAGAAAAGUGGCUUCCAAAUCACCAGUGUGACCCCUGCUCAAAUAUCAGCUAGUAUGAGCUCUAAUAACAGCAUAGCUGAGGAUACAGAGAGCUAUGAUGACCUGGAUGAGUCCCACACUGAAGAUCUGUCAUCUUCGGAAAUCUUGGAUGUUUCUUUAUCCAGGGCCACUGACUUGGGAGAACCUGAGAGGAGCUCUUCUGAAGAGACUUUAAAUAACUUCCAAGAGGCAGAGACUCCUGGGGCUGUUUCUCCAAACCAGCCUCAUCUUCCUCAGCAGCAUGCUCCUCUGCCUCAUCACCCACAGCAGAGUGUUGUGAUCAAUGGAAGUGUUCACCCCCAUCAUGUUCAUCACCACCACCAUCUUCACCACCACCAUCAUGGACACCACCAUCCGUCACAUCCUGGGGUGGGCAGUGCCCCAGUUUCCGGAGGACCACCGCCCAGUCCAUCAUUUAGAAAACUGUCAACAACUGGAAGCUCUGACAAUGUUAUAUCAACUGCACCAGUUUCUGCUGCAUCAUCCACUGGUUCUCCGGCAUCUGUCGUGUCUAAUAUCCGCACUACAAGUACUCCUGGAAAUUUAGGUGUAAGUCCUGCUACCGGAACUAGUACCUUAAAUAAUAUGGGUAGUGGUAGUUCUAGUGUGGCAGGUGGUGUGAUUGGUACUAUAAACUUGAGCAACAUCACGAGUACUGCUAAUGUAAAUGCUUUGUCUGGAACUGGCAGCAAUGUUAAUGUGAAUAUCUUGAGUGGUGUUGGCAAUGGUACGAGUGCUUCCUCUAGUGUCAUUAACAAUGUUACUAAUCCAACUGCAGGAAUGGCAGUUGGAUCAAGCCAGCAGCAGCCUGCAUCUGGCACGUCAAGGUUUAGGGUUGUAAAAUUAGAUUCUAGUUCUGAACCUUUCAAAAAAGGUAGAUGGACAUGCACUGAAUUCUAUGAUAAAGAAAACACCGUUGCAGUUUCUGAAGGAGUAGCAGUAAACAAAGCAGUAGAGACAAUAAAACAAAACCCGCUUGAAGUGACUUCUGAAAGGGAGAGCACCAGUGGGAGUUCUGUUAGCAGCAAUGUAAGCACACUGAGUCACUAUACAGAAAGUGUGGGAAGUGGAGAAAUGGGAGCACCUCCUGUGGUACAGCAGCAAGCAUUUCAAGGUGUGGGUCCACAGCAGAUGGAUUUUAGCAGUGCUGCUCCUCCGGCAAUUCCAGCAUCAAGUAUACCACAGAGUGUUUCUCAAUCACAGCUUGCACAAGUCCAGCUGCAUUCUCAAGAAGUAAACUAUCCACAGCAGAAGCCAGGGGUCCAGCCUCCUGCACAGGCCAGUCUAACCACUGUUACUGGGGUUCAGCCAGCCCCAGUUAAUAUACUAGGUGUAUCCCCAUCUAUGGGCCACCAGCAGCCUGGCAUUCAAAGUAUGGCUCAACAGCAGCUACCAUAUUCUCAGCCAGCGCCGCCUGUGCAGACUUUGCCGGUUGUGCAGCAGCAGCAGUUGCAGUAUGGACAACAGCAGCAGCAGCAACAGACAGUUCCUACACAGAUGGCCACAGGUCAUGUUAAGUCGAUGAACCAAAACUCCGUGACAGGGGCUGUGCCAGACUACAUUCAGCAUCAGCAGAUCCUUCAGACUCCAGCCCCUGCCAUGCAGCCUAGUUCUGCAGGAGUAGGAGCAGGGCAACCGGUUCCCGUUGCCCAGGCACAGGGCAUGCAGCCUUCAGUACAAGCACAUCCAGCCGCUGCCCCAGCUCAGCCUGUUGCACAUGCUCCAGCAGCAAUACCAGGUGUAGGUACCAGUGGUCAAAUGCUGAAUGUUGGGCAGCAAGGGAGUGUAGCUGCUGUGGUGCAACCACCAUCUGCUGCAAACCAAAUUCCACCUCCAGUUAUGCCGUCAACGGCUGCUCCUCCAUCUUCACAAGUAGUGCAGCCUGUGCAGACAGGAAUAAUGCAGCAGGGAUUACAGGCUAGCGCUUCAGGCCUUCCUCAGCAAAUGGUCAUAGCUCAGCAAAGCACUUUGUUACCUGUACAGCCACAGGCACAAGGAGUGGAAUCUGUUGUCCAAGGGAUGACUGGCCAGCAGCUACCUGCAGUUAGCCCUAUACCUUCUGCUAGUACUGUUCCUGCACCAACUCAAGCUGGUUCAGCUGUGCCUCCUGGCAUACCUUCUGCUUCUAUAGGUUUGGGACAGCCACAGAACAUAACACAAGCUUCGGCUGUGCAGAAUGGGAAUUUGUCUCAAAGUGUUAGUCAGCCUCCCUUGAUAUCAACAAGUAUAGGUAUGCCAGUGGCACAGAGUGUGCCACAGCAGAUGCCGCUAAGCUCUACCCAGUUCCCUGCACAGUCACUAGUUCAGUCCGUUGUAAGCCAAAUUGAAGAUGGCAGGCGCCCUACAGAGCCUUCCUUGGUGGGUUUACCUCAAGCUGCCAGUGGUGAGAGUGGUGUUGGAGCGUCGGCCGUUUCGGAUGGCGGUAGCAGCAAUGUGCCAUCCUCUGCUUCCCUCUUUCCACUGAAGGUGCUGCCAUUGACGACACCUCUGGUAGAUGGUGAGGAUGAAAGUUCAACUGAAUGCUGGUGCAUAGAUCCUGCAGUGGGUUUGCAGCCUGCACAUGUUUCGAGAGGUGUGUGCUCUAAAGGAGAGGAUGAAGAAACCCCAUCAAAAUUGCCCCUAAAUGAAUUGAGUGAAAUUGCAUAAUGAGGAACAUACCUUUUUGGUUAACUACUGGAUCAUACUCUAACUGGUGUCUUCAGAGCAAUGAAGGCAAAAUGAUAGUGCCUCAUAUGAUGCAUACACCUCAACAGCUACCCUACAUGCAAACACUGGCCACUGCUGCUGUUGUGCAUAAGCUGCCCACAAAAGUAAAGAACCAGUGUGAGAGUUUGAAGAAAGAAUCCACUCAGAGGACUGAGUCUCAAGCAAAAGCUCCAGGUUGCAGACUCAGAAAGAAACUUCCUUUGGGGAAGGAUCUGCUUCCAGGAUUUGCUCGUCUCUUUUUCCUUGGGCAAACAGAGUUCUUGAAGCAAACAACAGGGUUGCAGCAAAAGGUAUCACUUGAAAACUGGCAGUGAGAUUCUAACGACAUUUUGCCAGUUCCCCUUUCAUGCUGAAUUGAAGUCAUUUGGAACUAUGUUACAUGCAUUAUUACUUUGGUGCAUCUUGUGACUCUUCUCUCCCUCUUCAUUCCCUCCAAAUUGCUUCAGGACACCUUCUAACCUUUAUACUGCAUCACAAGCCUUCAGCAGAAGAUCUUGAGAGCCAUUUAUGUUGCUGGAAGAUGACUGGGUUUGGAUCUUGGCCUUCCUUAAGCAGGAUCUUCUGACAAAAAUGGGAUUGGGAAAGAAAUGACUCCUUUUUCCAUCACACAGAGCCGCCCUAGAAAUGAAGGCCUAGGCAGAAAAUUACUUCCAAUGCAUCAUUCCUUAAGAGAUUUGUUUGCCCUUCCACGGUCCUUCUGUUACCAUGUCAUAAAGAUGUCUUUUAUAAAGCCUAAACCUGGCAUCUUCCUAUCUGAAGAUCCAGUCAAUAAAUCCAAGUUUAAGAGUGUACAGGUCUAAUGCGCUCAGAGCAUGCUGUCUCCUACAUAGGAGAUGCGCUAUGGAUCUGUGAAACAGGGUUCUCCUGUGGUUCAGUGUUGUAUCUGUAAAGCCUUUUCUGCUUAUAGUCCAUUUAAAUUAUUAUAAAAAAUAAAAAGCUUCUUGUGAAAAUGGUAUUUAAUUAGGCCUCAAACUCUCCAAGUUUACUUAAAAACAAGUGAGCCAAAAAUGACAUAAUGGGCAAUAUGGGAAGUACUGCAUCUUCUGAGGUUUCCUGUGGGUUUGUGUCAAGAGAAGGUAUGUUGAAAGUGUUGAGAGCUGUGAAAGUGGGAAAAACUUAGAUUUUGCUUUAAGAGUGAAAAGUUAUUUGUUAGAAAGCAGAAAGCUUUUAAUUUCCCUCCUCUAAGGGAUUCUGUACUCAAACGGUCUUGCAAGAUCUUAAAUAAAAACCUUAUGUUUGGCAGUAGUGAGCAACACACACACACAUGCCUGUGUACUUUUUGCUCUUUUUGCCAUAGGAAAUUAGUUUUGAAGAAUAGGAUUGACUUCUAAUGUUCAGAUUAGGAAAGGGGAAAGCUUUGUUCUGAAGCUGAGUGUGGGAAGACAUGGCAGGAGGUUGACCUGAGCCCACUGGUAAAGUGCACUUUUGUUUUCGUGUUUUCUGCUUCUGGCAGUUGGAGUAAACUAGUCAGAUGCUUGUGCUUGAAUCCAGUUAAUUUCCUAAAUCAGUUACCACAAAACAUUGUUUUUUAACUAAUGCCUAGAUCUCUCAUUAAAUGCACCAGCCUGUUUAAAUUGUUGAGCAGUCUUAACAUAGCCCUGAGGCUACUGCUUCAUGGCAGUUGUGACUUCUUACUGUGCUGGAAUGCAUUGCAGUCUUAGUACAUUCUAAAAAUAAUUGUUCAGAUGGUGCUGUUUAAGUACAUACUUAUGUAGUGAGCCAUUUUCACUGGACUUUUUAAAAUUUGGGGUCUAUUGGAUGGCUUUUUAAUACCCUGUUUUUAUUCCCUGUGAAUAUCCAACUUCUUUGUCUUGAUGCUUCUGUGGUUAUUGAGUAAAAUGCUAAAUUUAUAACCUGGUAUUUUUAGAAAACUGACAGUCAGAUGUAUGUGUUAAACUAUGCAACCACAGUAACACUUGUGAACUUUGAAGUUUAAAGAGAAAUCACUUUAAUGUAUCAAAUUCAAUACUUUUUUUUUAGUAUGUGGAAAUAUGUUUGUGAUGACCUUAAAACUGAGUAGUUGUUACAGGCAUAGGCAUGGAUUGUGUGCUGAACAUGAGUAACCUAGAAGUUAGAAGCUGGAGAUACGCGAGUCUCGGAAAUAAAUUAUUGCUGUCUGUGGGAGAGAUCUGUGCCAGCAGUGCUUUUAGUUGAAAAUACCUGUUUUUCUAACUUCUCCCCUGUUGAAAGUCUGGUUAUCUUUUUUUGCCUUACUUAAAAGGUGUACUUGCCUCAGCCAGAGCUGUUGAUCAUUUUGUUCUGUAGAAUAAGGUAAUUUAAGACCAACAAAUACUUAAUAGGAGCACUGAGAACUGUUUCUAAUGUUAUUGUCUCAGUUGCUAAAAUGACUUUAACCCCCACAUCACAAUAAGGAAAAGAACCCCAAACAAGCCAGAAAGCUUGUUGCUGUUCUACAGUCAGUAUUUUGAUACUUCUUGUCUAUUACCAUUGUGUUAGUGUGUUACUAUCAUGCUCGUAGUUCUGCAGUUGGAAUCCUGGGUUCUUGAUACGUCUUUAGAGCAAUAGCUCCUGCCUUUGUGUUAUUAAAAAAUAAAGAUAUCUGAAACCA